GAGUUUGAUCCUGGCUCAGAACGAACGCUGGCGGCGUGGAUAAGACAUGCAAGUCGCCCUCUAUUUUCUCGGUUAGCAAUAACUGAGGAAAUUGAGUGGCGAAUGGGUGCGUAACACGUGGGAAUUUAUCCGGAAGUGGGGGAUAGCUCGUCGAAAGGCGAAUUAAUACCGCAUAUGCCUGUAAGGGCAAAGUGGGGGACCGCAAGGCCUCACGCUAUCGGAGGAGCCCGCGCCCUAUCAGCUAGUUGGUGAGGUAAUGGCUCACCAAGGCUUAGACGGGUAGCUGGUCUGAGAGGACGACCAGCCACACUGGAACUGAGACACGGCCCAGACACCUACGGGUGGCAGCAGUCGAGAAUUUUUCACAAUGGGGGAAACCCUGAUGGAGCGACUCCGCGUGGGGGAUGAAGGGCUUCGGUUCGUAAACCCCUGUCAUUGGCGAACAAGUGUUGCGUUAUAAUACAGCGUAACUUGAUAGUAGCCGAAGAGGAAGGGACGGCUAACUCUGUGCCAGCAGCCGCGGUAAUACAGAGGUCCCGAGCGUUGUUCGGAUUCACUGGGCGUACAGGGUGCGUAGGUGGUUGGUUAAGUUUGAGGUGAAAGCUCCGAGCUCAACUCGGAAAAUGCCUUUGAAGACUAUCUGACUAGAGGAUUGGAGGGGAGAUUGGAAUUCUCGGUGUACCAGUGAAAUGCGUUAGAUAUCGAGAGGAACACCCAGUGGCGAAGGCGAAUCUCUGGACAAUUCCUUGACACUGAGGCACGAAAGCCAAGGGAGCAAACGGGAUUAGAUACCCCGGUAGUCUUGGCUGUAAACGGUGCGCACUUGCUGUGAGCGGAUUCGACCCCGCUCGUGGCGUAGUUAACACGAUAAGUGCGCCGCCUGGGAAGUACGGUCGCAAGAUUAAAACUCAAAGAAAUUGACGGGGGCCUGCACAAGCGGUGGAGUAUGUGGCUUAAUUCGAUGCAACGCGAAGAACCUUACCUAGCCUUGACAUGCAAAUAGUAGGAGCCUGAAAGGGUGACGAGGUAGCAAUACCAGUUUGCACAGGUGCUGCAUGGCUGUCGUCAGCUCGUGUCGUGAGAUGUUGGGUUAAGUCCCGCAACGAGCGCAACCCAA
rnacentral:rRNA from 1 species